rnacentral:rRNA from 1 species
ACGAAGCACUUUAUUUGAUUUCUUCGGAAUGAAGAUUUUGUGACUGAGUGGCGGACGGGUGAGUAACGCGGUGGGUAACCUGCCUCAUACAGGGGGAUAACAGUUGGAAACGACUGCUAAUACCGCAUAAGCGCACAGGGUCGCAUGACCUGGUGUGAAAAACUCCGGUGGUAUGAGAUGGACCCGCGUCUGAUUAGCCAGUUGGUGGGGUAACGGCCUACCAAAGCGACGAUCAGUAGCCGACCUGAGAGGGUGACCGGCCACAUUGGGACUGAGACACGGCCCAAACUCCUACGGGAGGCAGCAGUGGGGAAUAUUGCACAAUGGGGGAAACCCUGAUGCAGCGACGCCGCGUGAGCGAAGAAGUAUUUCGGUAUGUAAAGCUCUAUCAGCAGGGAAGAAGAAAUGACGGUACCUGACUAAGAAGCACCGGCUAAAUACGUGCCAGCAGCCGCGGUAAUACGUAUGGUGCAAGCGUUAUCCGGAUUUACUGGGUGUAAAGGGAGCGCAGGCGGUACGGCAAGUCUGAUGUGAAAGCCCGGGGCUCAACCCCGGUACUGCAUUGGAAACUGUCGGACUAGAGUGUCGGAGGGGUAAGUGGAAUUCCUAGUGUAGCGGUGAAAUGCGUAGAUAUUAGGAGGAACACCAGUGGCGAAGGCGGCUUACUGGACGAUUACUGACGCUGAGGCUCGAAAGCGUGGGGAGC